CGUGACCUGCAAUCUUGGUGUAGCAGGAGGAUGUUCCAACCAACUGAGCUACCCGGCCAGGGUUCAAGUACCUCUUUCAAGGACUUUAAAAUAUUUUUGAGAGAAAGCACAGAUGGCCUGACUAAAUGGGGGCCUGUACCACAUUCAUGGACUAGUUCGCCUGAUGCUGGGGUGUUGUCUGGUCUCCCUCAAGUGACCUACAGUUUUGCCGCAACCUCAGCCAAAAUCCCACCACUUCUCCUCCACCUCAGUGAAACUCACAAGCUGUUUCUCAAUCAGAUGGAAGUGUCAGGAGAGGCAAAUAGGUCACUGAGGGAGAAUAAUGACCUCAGAUACAGACUAAUAAAGGCUAAUGUAUACAGGACCGUGUGUGACUGCAGGACUAGAACAACACAGGUGCUUUGGGGCAGUUCAGAAAAGAAGUGUUUAAUAUAAAUUGUACUGAGAUGAUUAGAUAUAACUAUUAUUUUAAAUUAACCUUAAUCCUUAGCCACAUCAUGUAAAAGGCAAAUAAUAAAGUCUCUAAGAAGAUA